rnacentral:rRNA from 1 species
CGGCGGACGGGUGAGUAACACGUGGGUAACCUACCUAUAAGACUGGGACAACUUCGGGAAACCGGAGCUAAUACCGGAUAGUAUGUUGAACCGCAUGGUUCAAUAGUGAAAGAUGGUUUUGCUAUCACUUAUAGAUGGACCCGCGCCGUAUUAGCUAGUUGGUGAGGUAACGGCUCACCAAGGCAACGAUACGUAGCCGACCUGAGAGGGUGAUCGGCCACACUGGAACUGAGACACGGUCCAG